UACCAGCACCCCGAGUGGUCGGGACGAUUAUUGGGCCUAAAGCAUCCGUAGCCGGUUCUACAAGUCUUCCGUUAAAUCCACCUGCUUAACAGAUGGGCUGCGGAGGAUACUAUGGAGCUAGGAGGCGGGAGAGGCAAGCGGUACUUAGUGGGUAGGGGUAAAAUCCGUUGAUCCAGUGAAGACCACCAGUGGCGAAGGCGGCUUGCCAGAAUGCGCUCGACGGUGAGGGAUGAAAGCUGGGGGAGCAAACAGG
rnacentral:rRNA from 1 species